rnacentral:lncRNA from 1 species
AUGCAUGUUGAACGAAUUUUUGCCGAAGAAGAUGAAGUUUCACUGUAUACUAAGGAUCUGGACAAAAAAGAAACUGUUCAGGAGUCUUCAAUUUCAGGGGAAGAUGAAUUCAAAUCAGUUGUAGUUAGCUCUGGAGAAACUGAUGAACAAGAACAGAUGCCCAGGGAAAUAGUUAAAACAGGAAUGAUUUCGUCCAGAGACACAGAAGAAAAGAUCACAUUUGAAGUUGAGGAUCGACAGCAGAAGAGCUCCGAUAGUGACAGAGUGGAUACCAUUCAAGAUGAGAUUGCAAUUUCCGCCAUCGAGGACUUCGGCUGUAAGUCAAGUGUGAUGGCCCAUCCCCGUCUGGAACAGAUUGAGCCAACUGCGGCUGAAAUUACUUCUAGUAUGGCUGUUGAAGCAGAAAACAUGACGAAAGGUGUACUGCAAACUGAUGAGCUGUUAUUUGAAGCGAAUGAUUCCUCAAAGGAAACCCCAAUCGUGAUUGAAGAGCCACAGGCUCCCGAAAAGCAAACUGAAAUAUUAUUUGAAUUCAAGGAGUUAGAAAAGGGAAGAAUCCUUACGGAUACCAAAAGUUCUGAAGUAGGUGAACUUACGCCAGAAGAAUCGAGCCUAGGGAAAGUGGUUGAGCCUGAACAGAUCCUCCAGAAGGCAGAGAAAACUGUAGAGACGUCAUCUAAAGCGGAAGAUGAACCGGACGAGGCCUCAAUCAGAACAGGAGAGAGGCGGCCAAAAGGUGCUCAUGGUGGCGAAGAGGACGUUCAAAAGGAGGUUUCGGUAUCGCCUGUUGGAAACCUCGAAAGGAAUCUGAUCUUCGAGGUUUCCUCCAGCAUCGACAGGGAUGCAAGUACAUCAGUAAAAGAAAGACCCAUAAAUGCCGUUGAAGCCGAAGAGACUCCUUUGGAGGUAGAAAAAUCGCAAGAUACAUUAUCUGACACUGAAAUGAAACAGGAAAUUAACUUCAUCGCGCCCGAGAAACAGCAGAGUAGCUUUGAUCAUGCUAGUGAACUGGUAAUUCCAAGUGAUGUUACCAUAUCGGUACCUGAGAAAAUUAAAAAGAAUGAUAUCUUUGACGCCUCUACCUCCCUUGAGAAGGAUAGACGAGUAUCAGCCGAUGUUAACCGUGGCACAGUCAUUGAAUCUCAGCAGUCUCCCCUAGAAGUCGCCGCAGCGACAGUAACAUCACCUGAAAAUGAAGUCAGAGAGGGAACGAACACUACAGAGGCCAAAAAUCAAGAGCAUGAAGGCACGAAAGAUGACGACGAGCAGGCUGUUCAAAGUGCAGUUGCUGAAUUUAAAGUCGCCGACCUUGAAAGGAGUCAAAUCAUCGCAGCUUCUCUCACCUUGGGAGGAGAUAAACGAGCAUCCGCCGAUAUUAACCCUGACCAAGUCGUUAAAUCUAAACAGUCUUCCCAAGAAGUCUUCACAGUAGAUGGAGCUUCACCUGAAAAUAUAGCCAUAGAAGAAUUGGACACUAUUGAAGCCGAGGAUCAAGAGCGCGAAAGCUGCGUGAAUGACGGCGAACAAGCUAUUCAAACUGAAGUUGCAAAAUCAGUUGUCGUUGAUCUUGAAAUAAAUGAAGUCCUCGAAGCUUCCUUCGCCUCUGAAAAAGAUGAACAUACAUCAACCAGUGCUAGCCCCAGAAAAGUCGUUGAACCUGAACAGAUUUCUCGAGAGAUGGUGACUUCUGAAGAACCUGUCAAUACAUCUGAAGUCGGACAGAGAAUGGACACUAUCAAGGUCGAUAGUCAAGAGGAAAAUGGUUUUGUUGAUAAUGCCGAAAAGUCUGCUCAAAGUUCAUUUGCAAUAUCAGGAGUCGUAAAUCUCGAAAGGAACCAAAUCGUUGAAGGCUGCUCCACUUCCGAGGAAAAUGAACUAAAAUCAGUUGAUGUUAGUCCUAAAAAAGUUGAAUCCGAACAAUUUCCUCGAGACAUGGUGAACAAGGCAGUGAUUUCAUCUGAUACUGAAAACAGACCUGAAUUGGACACUACCAAGGCUGAGGAUCAAGACCAUACUUGCACCGACAGUGAUGAUGGACAGGUUAUCCAGAAAAAUGUUGACAUCGCAGUUAUAAAAACUGAAAUCGGACAGGGAACAGACAUUAUCGAGGCCAAGGAUCAACAACAGAAAGGCUCUCACGAUGACAAUGGACGGGCAACUCAGAGUGAUGUCAUCAUAGAAGUAAGAGAGGAGUUUGAAGGGGGUCAAAUCCUUAAGGCCUCCUCCAUCUGUGAAAAGAUUGAUGGUCUAUUAGUCGACAACAUUCCCAAAACAGUCGAUGAAUUUAAACUGACCUCCCUAGAAGUAGCCAAAACAGAAGGAAUGUCCUCAAAAAUGGAACUAAGGCAGGAACUUGACCCUGCCAAACCUGAGGAUAAAGAACAGAAAGGCUCCGACGGUGACGGUGAUCAAGCUAUUCCGAGUGAGGUUGCAAAAUCAGUACACAUGGAGCUCGAAAGAAUUCAAUCACUUGGAGGCUCUUUCACUACUGAGAAGGAUGAUCGUACGACAGUCGAUGUUAGUCCCGAAAAAGAAGUUAAAACAGAACAGAAUCUUCGAGAAUUAGCCGGAACAGAAGAAACUUCAUCUAGUUCUAAGAAAAUACGUGAAAUGGACAUAGUCGAGGACGAAGAUCUACAGCAAAUAGCCGGCAAACUCGAAAGAAAUCAAGUUCCUGAAGACUCUUUGACUUCCGAGAGGGAUGCUCAUGUCAGUCCCAGAAAAGUCAUUGAAUCCGAUCAAAUCCCUAGAGAGACGUUGCAAACGGCUCCAUCUGGAGAUGAAGUUAAACAAGACGUAGGCACUAUCAAGGAUGAUGAUCGGAAGCAAGAUGGCCGUGAAGAUUGUGAUAAACACGCUGUUCUAAAUGAAGAUCCAAAAUCGGAAGUCACGGACCUUGGUAGGAUUCAAAUCUUUGAAACCUUCUCUGAAGUGGAUGAACAUGAAUCCGUGCAUGUUAGUACUACUAAAGUUGUUGAACCUGAACGGUGUUCUUUAGAGAUCGUCACAGAAACUUCAUGUAAAACAGAGGAAGUACGUGAAUCUGACCCCGCCGAGACUAUGGAUCGGCAAAAGAAAGGGCUUAGCGAUGAUCGUGAUCAAACUGUUUUAAGAGAAGAACCGAAAACAGUACUCUUGGAUCUUGUAAGGAAUCAAAUCUUCGAGGGCUCCUCCACCUCUGAGAUUAAUGAAAGUAAAUCAGAUGAUAUUAGUCCCAAAGAGGGAAUUGAACCCGAACGGAUUUCUUCUGAAAUGGUGAGGGCGGAUGAGACUGCAUCGGAAACUGAAGUUGAACAGAAAAUGGACACUAUCGAAGCUGAGAAUCGAGAGCAAAAAAGCUUUGACGAUGAUGAUAAACUAGCCAUUCAAAGUGAUGUUGCAAAAUCAGCAGUCAUGGAGCUAGAAGCUAAGGAAUCCCUCGAUGACUCCUGCUCUUCUGACAAGGAUAAACCCAAGCUUAACCCCAAGGAAGUCGUAGAUCUUGAACAGAUCCCUCAGGAAACAGUUAAAUCAGAAGAGACCUAUUCUGUAAAGGAUGUUAAGCAAGAUGUUAAUUCUACCGAGGAUAAAGAUCGAAAGCAGGGUGACUCUGAAGCUAAUGAAAUUGAGUCUAAUCAAAGUGAUGUUGCAGUACCAACUGUCCACAAAGUUGAUAGGAAUCAAAUCCCUGAAAAUUCCUCAAGCUUUGAAAGAGCUGACGUUAUUUCAGUGAAUCGAAACCUCGAACUGGUGGUAGAAUCAGAACCUAUCCCUGACGAGAUAAGCACAGCGGACGGAAAUUCCUCCGAAAAUAAUGACACCACGGAAAAGAGGGCAAUCAAAUCUAAAGAAAACCAGCAAGAAGGCCCUUCCCUAGAGGUUGCGGAUGUGAACGAGAUGAAAAAAGAAGGCGCUGUAGAGGACUUUCCUGGCUUAAAAGAGAGUCGUUUGGUCCAGAGCCCUAUGAAGGACUCUCAUGGCAUGUCUAUAAAAACGACACAUGAGGAGGUCCAAACUAUUACUGCUGUAGAAAAUUUAACAAACAGAGAUCAUGAUAAGUUAUCACUCUUAUCUCAUGAGACGACCGACCUAGAUUCCCCUGAAAAUCUAAAAUUCGAUGACUUUAGUCAGUCUAAUGCUUCAACAGAAUCGCAUUACGAAGGAAGGCGUGAAGGUUCACUUGAUGAAGUUUCGACUGCACAAUGCAUAAUAAAAGAUAGAGAGGAUCAACAAGACUAUCCUGAAUUGUUGGUGAAGAAACCUAAAACAUGCACCAAUCUCUCCAAAGACCCAAAAGACAUGCAAACCAAACUUAUUUUUGAAGAUUCAAUCGAACCAAUUUUGGAACCUCCGCUUCCGAAGUUUGAGAAUGCUGAAGAGCCAGCUGUAUUGGUCAAAAAAUUAUCAAGAUCUAAGAUUGGGGAUACUGGAGAGUCUCUAUCAUCACAUCUCAUUGCAGCAAGAACCGAAGUUGCUUUAGUAGAUUUACCUGAAAACAAGAGAAUUUUGCCAGAUCAUGCAAAUGAAAGUCUUUAUUUGUCUGUCGGAGAGAAUGCACUUUUAGUCUCAUCCGUCUCAGAUGAAUCGACUCCUAUAGAGCCUGUAGGCUUGGUAAAAUCUGAUUCUCAUGAAGACAUCGAUGACAAGGCAGACAGAAUUACUCAUGUGGAAUGCAGUUCAACACCUAAAACAUCAGAGAGAGAAAGUGUUACUCCAGAAUUGGAAUGCACCUUAAAUACAAAAUACGAAGAGACGAUGGACCCAGAAAAUAUUUCGUUACCCUCUUCAUUAUCAAACAGGUCUAGUGAACUUGCCGAAUUUCCUAUGAAAGCUGAAAUAUCUUCUGACUUAGGGAAUGAAAACAAUUCCAAGCAGGCUGGUGACUCUAAAAAACUAUUGAGCCAAUCAGGUUCUAGCCUCAAUACAUCAGCUCCUAGUAUGAAAGACUCCCACAGAACCCAGCUUGAUCUUACAUCAGACGUACGAGAAGUAGACACCGGAGACUCAUAUGAAUCAGGAGCCUCCACCGCUCCCACCAGUCUAACCAGCUACUCUGAGAAUGAUUCUCAAGUAACAUCUCAGUCACUAACUGAAGAAGACACUAAUAAAGGAAGCAGUUUUCAAAGUGAAUCGUUUUCUGAUAAUUCUUCAGGCCCUGAUUUUGCUUCUCAACGUAGCACCGGUUUUUCUGAGGAUUCGGAGGAACAAGGCAGUCUCUUCACUACAAAAUCCGGUUCAACGUAUGUUUUUGUAAAAUCGACCAGUACUAAUUUAUUAUGCUCCUGUGAUGAAAUUGAAACAGCUCGAGAUGUAACAUUGUCAAGCAAAAACCACGAAGGAAAAGUUGAAAUUAUGGCAACGACUUUGCACGAAACAGUAGCAAUGGAGGAGUCGCAGAAAUCUCCAGCGCAAAUUGUUCACGGCUCUGAAACUGCUGAAACUGACUUUUCAGGCUCUACUGUCGAACGAGCUGCCCCCACUUUCAAGGUAAAGUCAUUAGUUUCGACUCAGGUCUCUAUUAUAAAUGAUGAUGCUAGCAACAUUGUUGCCUCCGAUAGUGAUAAGCACAGAGAAAAAAGUGUUAAAACACCGAAACGACCCGCUUCACUGGCAUACGCAGAAAAAGCCAAAGUUCCAAAUAAGAAAUUGUUUUCUUCCUCUUUAGCUCAGAAAGCCGGGCGUGAUACUUCCGUUUCAUCCCUAAAACCUGCUUUAUGUCAAGAGCAAUCUGAAGGAAAAAAGCCACGUAAAAGGUUUACUUCCUCUGGCUUGCCAAAACCUAUGAUACCCAGUAACUCCUCUCCAAUGAAGCAUGUAUUUGCCAAGACUGAUUCGGGUUUUAAACAGCGUAAUUUAAGUUCAUCGGAUUCUGAAUCAGCAAAUAAAGUGAGACGUGUCAUGCAUACUGCUAGAGAUAAGGUAGAUUCCCAUGUAAAAAAGCCCUCGCUUUCAUCUACCCAACAAGUAGCCUUUCAGAAACGUAGUGUAGACCUUCCCAAACCCAAAAAUGAAGAUGUCAAGUCUUCCGUCACUGAACACCAUCCUCAAAAAAUUGGAAAUCUCUCCAACAAUAAAUUUUCCAAUGAAAUGAACACAACAUCUUCUACCAUUCCCCGUACAAACGUAAGUUCUAAAUCAGAAAGUCAAAGUCAAAUUUUGAAGCUUGCCAAUCAGGGUGACUCAAAAUACUUGAUGAGAUCCUCUAAUAGAAAUUCUUUCUCUGAUAAAGAUAUUCCCAAGGAACACCAAGUAAUUAAUCAAUCAACAAAUAGUUUAUCCUCUGGAAAAGUUGAGAAAGUUCCUGAAGUAAUUAAUGAAUCAAGAAAAUUUGCCUCCAAGCAAAAAUCUGAUAUAAAAAACAAAGGCUAUGCUGCCUCCACUCUCUCCACUACCAUGAAAACCAAGAUCACAAGUAGCACUGAGUUUGAAGUAAAAGUAACGAAUAAACUCAGAAAUACCUCGGCAAGUCGUUACCAAGAUUUGAGCAGUCAUAGAGUUUCGGAAAAAAUUGAAAAAGAUGUGAAAAACUUGGUCAUGAAAAAUAGUAAGCUGAAAACAUACAAUACUAUCACUUCAGCUGUUAGCACAAAAGAAACAAGAAAAAACGUUAGGAAAAGUUCCGGUAAAGGUCAAGAAAAAUCUGAAGAGGGCAGCAACACGGCACAAACUAAACCGGGUUACAAAACUCAAGGUAGAGUCACAACAAGACGAACAUCUGGGGAAAUAAUAGCUAUGCCUAGUGAGCAACAUAAAACUAUUCACACAAUAUCCAGUUCAAAAGAAGGAAACAAAUUUAAAAGUGAAAGUAAGAUCAUUUCUUUUGAAAAUAGGAGCAAAAAAAGUGUCAGUUCUUCUUCAGCCAUCUCAGAGUUGCUAACGACUUCCGACCAAAAAAAUGUUCAUUCAGUACUCUUCAAAGACGAAUUUUCUUCUGGCACAUCGAAUGUGGCUGAACAUUUCACCUUUUCAGAAACAUUAGAAAAUCUCAAAAAAGUGUCCUCUGCAACUCUUGGUGUUUAUUCUUCCCCAAGAGAUGAAGAAAAAUUGCGACUAAGGCGCAAAAGUGAUCCGAAAUUUAACAUUAAGAAUCAUAGUUGUCACGAUCCUACUUUCAUUGGAUACCGUGGAUCAUCCUCUCUCUCAUCAAGUCCAUGUCAUAAACGGAGAUUUUCCAAUGGAACAUCAAGCUUCCUCACAUCUGAAGUAUUCACACAGUUCAAAAAAACAGGGCCAAAUUCUGGUUCCUUAAAUGUUCUGUUUUCGCAGCCAUCUAAUGCAGUCGUGAAAGAACCCUCCUCCUCUCAAGGAAGUUUUCUUGUAGUCGACUCAAACAUUAAAACCUCUCCGUCUGUUAGCACUAAUAUUUUGCUUAAAACUGACUCCUCUUUGCUACCUCGUCCCUCCAUUGAAAAUUAUGUAGAAAAAAGUAGUAACGUCCAUUCAACAGUAUCAUCCUCUAGUCAUUCGUAUACCUCUAGAAUUUCGACUAAAUCUUCUCAGAUCCAGACUCAGGCAGAUAGAGUAGUAUCACAUGACCGAAGCAUCUGUUCCAAAGAUGGUAUUCUAACUCAUACCUCUGAAAAUAUUGAAAUGUCUCCUUUUCACAAGGGAUCUCAUGAAUUCAAAGUUAUUAAAAAGUCACCGGGUAAAACGAACCUGACAAUAUGCUCAGAUGAUGAAUCGAAAGUCAGAUUAACUCAAUGCUCAAAAAAAGUUUGCGAAGAACAAUUGUCUCCAGUACUUCAAGUCCGGGCAAGGACACCUCCCCGUGUCAAGCAUAGCUUUCAGUACCUAGAUUCUGAUGAAGAAGAGGGUCUCGGCUCCUCAUCUGAUAAGUCUGUUUUAAUGGAUGUAGACAAGCCUCUUCCCUCAUCUAAAAAACAGUUUUGA